GGUGCAAUGAUGAGAUAAAACACUUCGGUGUUCAGGGCAGUGGACAAGAUCCAAUUUCAAUUGGUUUUUGCCGUGAGCCUUUUAAUUAACGACUUCUCCUUCCACUGAGCUAA